GGUUGGAUCAUUAAAGAAUUUUUGGCCCAUCUUUUUUCGAGAUGGGCCGCUGUUUUGGGAUUUGAAUUUGGUGGUUUCCGCCAAGUUCAUUUUCUUCAAAAUAGUACACCCCCUUUGACGACCAAAACCUGAUUGUUGGUGGCCCGCCAACUCGGUCUUUGUGGGCAAUGGUUUGUUCAUUGCCAACAAGAUCAGGGCUAUCAACGCGUCUUGUGUGCAUGAUAAUGCGCGCAAGAUUGUUUAAACACCAUGUCAUUUCAGAAAAAGUGAACCUCCGGUGAUCUUUUUCCGUUUUUUAUAUAAAGUCUCCAUGCGAUCUUUAUUUUGAAGAAAGCUUAUUGUAAUAAAUUACAACUUUUGACAAUGGAUCUCUUGGCUCUCCCAACGAUGAAGAACGUAGCAAAUUGCGAUAAGUGUUGUGAAUUGCAGAAUUCAGUGAAUCAUCAAAUCUUUGAACGCAUAUUGCGCUCUCUGGUAUUCCGGGGAGCAUGCUUGUUUGAGAACCGUUUUAACUCUCACUUUCUCACUGUUUGGAAACAAACAUUUGUGGGCCAAAGUGGAUUUUGGUCAUUCGCAGAAUAUUAUUAAAGCGUUGACUUAAAAGCAUGGAUCGGAGCCCUUGUUUGAAAUUUCAAGGUUGCAAUGCAAAAAAGUACGCAAUCUGCUCUGUUGACAUGGAUAAUGUGGGAACUUUGGUUCUCCUUUCAAUGUCGCAAACAGGCAGCAAAGCUGGAAAACGCGUCGCAGCAUUGGUUUACCAAAACCUCUAAAACUUGACUUUCGUGGUUUAUUCAUAAACCGACAGAGGCAUACGACUGUUUUCAUGAACAUGCCAGGCGCACAAUGCUUUAUUUUGCGUUGUGCGAACACCUGAAACUUUGGUCUCAAAUCAAGCAAGAAAACCCGCUGAACUUAAGCAUAUUAAUAAGCGGAGGAAAAGAAACCAACAGGGAUUCCCCUAGUAACGGCGAGUGAAGAGGGAAAAGCUCAAUUUUGAAAUCUCCUGGUUCCGCCAGGCGAAUUGUAGUUUCAAGAAAUGUUUUCGGGGAUGACUUGGGUCCAAGUCUGCUGGAACGCGGUGCCAUAGAGGGUGAGAGCCCCGUUGGGUCCUGUGUUCAUUCCUGUAUGAUACAUUUUCAAAGAGUCGCAUAGUUUGGGAAUGCUGUGCAAAAUGGGUGGUAAAUACCAUCUAAAGCUAAAUAUUGGGGAGAGACCGAUAGCGAACAAGUACCGUGAGGGAAAGAUGAAAAGAACUUUGAAAAGAGAGUUAAACAGUACGUGAAAUUGUCAAAAGGGAAACGCUUGAAACCAGUAUUGAAUCUCGCAAAUCAGCCUUCGGGUGCAUUUUGCGUUGUUCAGGUCAGCGUCGGUUUGGUUUGGAGUAAAAAGCUUUGGGAAGGUAGCUUUUUGCGUUAUAGCCCAAAGUCAUGCUCUGGACUGGACCGAGGAACGCAGCUUAGCAUUAAGGAACCCGUCGCCUCGAACGGAUUGGCUGCUGACAACUUGUUGACUGUAGCCAACUUCCCUAGAGCCCGGCGGAAGUACUAUUCUGAGCUUAGGAUGCUGACGAAAUGGUUUUAAACGACCCGUCUUGAAACACGGACCAAGGAGUCCAACACAUAUGCGAGUGUUUGGGUGGCAAACCCGAGCGCGAAAUGAAAGUAAAUGUAGGUGGGAUCCCUUUGGGUGCACCAUCGACCGGUCUGGAUUCUUUUUGAAAGAUCUGAGUAAGAGCAUAUUUGUUGGGACCCGAAAGAUGGUGAACUAUGCCUGAAUAGGGUGAAGUCAGAGGAAACUCUGAUGGAAGCUCGUAGCGGUUCUGACGUGCAAAUCGAUCGUCAAAUUUGGGUAUAGGGGCGAAAGACUAAUCGAACCAUCUAGUAGCUGGUUCCCUC
rnacentral:misc_RNA from 1 species